rnacentral:lncRNA from 1 species
CUAUUUACUUCUUUUUUUUUUUUGAGAAAUAUGAUAGCACGCUAUCCCCUUCAUUUAUUUCGUUAGCUGGAAAUGUGAAUCAACUAGGAUUUGAACUUGGGAUCUCGGAUACCAACCACCAAACCCUUUGCCACUUGCUCUAGAGGCGGUCGGUUGCUAUUUACUUCAAAGAGUUGAAAUUAGAGGGGUUUACAUUAUUAAAAU